CUGGCUCAGGACGAACGCUGGCGGCGUGCCUAAUACAUGCAAGUCGAGCGGACAGAAGGGAGCUUGCUCCCGGAUGUUAGCGGCGGACGGGUGAGUAACACGUGGGUAACCUGCCUGUAAGACUGGGAUAACUCCGGGAAAACCGGAGCUAAUACCGGAUAGUUCCUUGAACCGCAUGGUUCAAGGAUGAAAGACGGUUUCGGCUGUCACUUACAGAUGGACCCGCGGCGCAUUAGCUAGUUGGUGGGGUAAUGGCUCACCAAGGCGACGAUGCGUAGCCGACCUGAGAGGGUGAUCGGCCACACUGGGACUGAGACACGGCCCAGACUCCUACGGGAGGCAGCAGUAGGGAAUCUUCCGCAAUGGACGAAAGUCUGACGGAGCAACGCCGCGUGAGUGAUGAAGGUUUUCGGAUCGUAAAGCUCUGUUGUUAGGGAAGAACAAGUGCGAGAGUAACUGCUCGCACCUUGACGGUACCUAACCAGAAAGCCACGGCUAACUACGUGCCAGCAGCCGCGGUAAUACGUAGGUGGCAAGCGUUGUCCGGAAUUAUUGGGCGUAAAGGGCUCGCAGGCGGUUUCUUAAGUCUGAUGUGAAAGCCCCCGGCUCAACCGGGGAGGGUCAUUGGAAACUGGGAAACUUGAGUGCAGAAGAGGAGAGUGGAAUUCCACGUGUAGCGGUGAAAUGCGUAGAGAUGUGGAGGAACACCAGUGGCGAAGGCGACUCUCUGGUCUGUAACUGACGCUGAGGAGCGAAAGCGUGGGGAGCGAACAGGAUUAGAUACCCUGGUAGUCCACGCCGUAAACGAUGAGUGCUAAGUGUUAGGGGGUUUCCGCCCCUUAGUGCUGUAGCUAACGCAUUAAGC
rnacentral:rRNA from 1 species